GGACAAUGUGUGCACACAGGAAGCAGGACCACUUCCGGGUUGGCAUCACCACUAAGGGACCCUGUGGAUGGCCCAUGGCAGAGGCAGAGACAGCAGUGGUGGCGGCUGGCAGGUUGUCCCCAGUGGCAUCUUCGUCAGUGGCAGAUUUGGAGCUGAGCCUUUUCUGUUAGGAGCAGGAGGCAGCAGUUUAGAGAGCCCUGCAGGGGAGCUGGAACGAAGAGGGGUGGAGCAGGACGCUUGAUGGCACCCCAGGCUGGAGCCACCACAGCGCAAGGAGCCUAGUUUAUGACUGGAAGGUGCUAUUGACAUGAAGAGGAUUAAGACUUCUCAGGAACAUAGUGAAUUUGAGGCCAACAUGAGCAACGUAUGACCUUGUUUUCUUCAAAAAAAGAGGAGGAUGAGGAGGAAGAAGAGGAGGAAACAAUGAGAAGGCAAGUCCUGGUUGCAUGAUUAAGAGGAGGAGGUGACAUUUUUGUGACUAUCUCUCAGUGGCCACAAGGACUCAAUUGUUCCGGGGUUAUCCAUCAGACCCUGUUGAAAGCCUUGGGCAGCUCAGCUGCCGUAGUGUGGAACAGACGGUGGCUUGAACAACUGUACAUAUUUACUGGAUGUCCAUUGACUAGAAGACUUUGUCCUCAGCGCAGCUGCUCCAGAGUCAUCAGAAGGACCUCUGAAGGCAGGCUGCUUCAAGUCCAGCUGUCCCUAAGACAUCAGGACCACUGAAGGCAGGGCACUUUCUCAGUGUGUCCUCAUACUCGGCCAGGAGCAGGGGAGAAGUCACACAAAAGAACAUGCUUUCUGGAGGAACUCUGAGAGAGCAUAGCUGGCUAACUAAAUGCCUGAAUAGCAUUAGUCAUGGUCUCCAAAGAAGA